GACGAACGCUGGCGGCGUGCUUAACACAUGCGAGUCGAACGGAAAGGCCCUGCUUUUGUGGGGUGCUCGAGUGGCGAACGGGUGAGUAACAGGUGAGUAACCUGCCCUUGACUUUGGGAUAACUUCAGGAAACUGGGGCUAAUACCGGAUAGGAGCUCCUGCUGCAUGGUGGGGGUUGGAAAGUUUCGGCGGUUGGGGAUGGACUCGCGGCUUAUCAGCUUGUUGGUGGGGUAGUGGCUUACCAAGGCUUUGACGGGUAGCCGGCCUGAGAGGGUGACCGGCCACAUUGGGACUGAGGUACGGCCCAGACUCCUACGGGAGGCAGCAGUGGGGAAUAUUGCACAAUGGGCGGAAGCCUGAUGCAGCAACGCCGCGUGCGGGAUGACGGCCUUCGCGUUGUAAACCGCUUUCGCCUGUGACGAAGCGUGAGUGACGGUAAUGGGUUAAGAAGCACCGGCUAACUACGUG
rnacentral:rRNA from 1 species